AGAUGGCGACCGGCGCACGGGUGAGUAACACGUAUCCAACCUGCCGAUAACUCGGGGAUAGCCUUUCGAAAGAAAGAUUAAUACCCGAUGGUAUAAUCAGACCGCGUGGUCUUGUUAUUAAAGAAUUUCGGUUAUCGAUGGGAUGCGUUCCAUUAGGCAGUUGGUGAGGUAACGGCUCACCAAACCUUCGAUGGAUAGGGGUUCUGAGAGGAAGGUCCCCCACAUUGGAACUGAGACACGGUCCAA
rnacentral:rRNA from 1 species